CAACAGAGGGAGGCAAAGCCGCGAGGCAGAGCAAACCCCUAAAAGCCAUCCCAGUUCGGAUUGCAGGCUGCAACCCGCCUGUAUGAAGUUGGAAUCGCUAGUAAUCGCGGAUCAGCAUGCCGCGGUGAAUACGUUCCCGGGCCUUGUACACACCGCCCGUCACACCAUGAGAGUCGGGAACACCCGAAGUCCGUAGCCUAACCGCAAGGAGGGCGCGGCCGAAGGUGGGUUCGAUAAUUGGGGUGAAGUCGUAACAAGGUAGC
rnacentral:rRNA from 1 species